rnacentral:lncRNA from 1 species
CUGGCAAUACAGUUAUCUUGCCCUUUGAAUUAACAGGCCCUGCUUUUCUUUUCUGAAUUGAAGGGUAGGAAAUUGGAAGGUCCUAGAAGGAAAAUGUCCUCUUUUGGUAGCUUUACUUUCUUUUCCAAGCUAAAGAAUUGGCUCCACAUUUUAGUACUACACAGUAGUGUAGACAUAACACAAUUUAGGACUGCUUCCAAAAAGAAUUCACAAAGGGUGAGUAUAUGAAUUUGCAUUUCAGUUUUCUCUUGCUGUUAACACUGCUUAAACUUUUAAAUUUAGUUUACAUGGAGAGACUAGUUAGACAAUGAAAGGAGGAGCUAACUCCUUUUGAUCUACAGAUGAACGUGAACCCCAGCAGUAGGUUGCUUCACGGGAGCAAAAGGUUUUUAAAUUUAAAUAGAAGAUGUACUUAUUUUCUUUUCAUCUGUAUCUGUUAUGAAUGAGAGAAAUUGAGUGAUCUG